rnacentral:rRNA from 1 species
AUUGAACGCUGGCGGCAUGCCUUACACAUGCAAGUCGAACGGUAACAGAUCUUCGGAUGCUGACGAGUGGCGAACGGGUGAGUAAUACAUCGGAACGUGCCUAGUAGUGGGGGAUAACUACUCGAAAGAGUGGCUAAUACCGCAUGAGUUCUACGGAUGAAAGCAGGGGAUCGCAAGACCUUGUGCUACUAGAGCGGCCGAUGGCAGAUUAGGUAGUUGGUGGGAUAAAAGCUUACCAAGCCGACGAUCUGGAGCUGGUCUGAGAGGAGGAUCAGCCACGCGGGGACUGAGACACGGCCCAGACUCCUACGGGAGGCAGCAGUGGGGAAUUUUGGACAAUGCGCGCAAGCCUGAUCCAGCAAUGCCGCGUGCAGGAUGAAGGCCUUCGGGUUGUAAACUGCUUUUGUACGGAACGAAAAGCCCUGGGUUAAUACCCUGGGGUCAUGACGGUACCGUAAGAAUAAGCACUGGCUAACUACGUGCCAGCAGCCGCGGUAAUAC